GGUUGAUCCUGCCAGUAGUCAUAUGCUCGUCUCAAAGAUUAAGCCAUGCAUGUCUAAGUAUAAACUGCUUAUACUGUGAAACUGCGAAUGGCUCAUUAAAUCAGUUAUAGUUUAUUUGAUGGUACCUUGCUACUCGGAUAACCGUGCAAAAGGCAGAGCUAAUACGUGCGUAAAUCCCGACUCCUGGAAGGGACGUAUUUAUUAGAUAAAAGACCGACCGGGCUUGCCCGAUCCGCGGUGACUCAUGAUAACUUCACGAAUCGCACGGCCUUGAGCCGGCGAUGUUUCAUUC
rnacentral:rRNA from 1 species